rnacentral:rRNA from 1 species
GAUGAACGCUAGCGGCAGGCUUAACACAUGCAAGUCGUGGGGCAGCACAGGUAGCAAUACUGGGCGGCGACCGGCGCACGGGUGAGUAACGCGUAUGCAAUCUACCUCUAACUGGGACAUAGCCCGUCGAAAGACGGAUUAAUUUCCCAUAACACCACAUGAGGGCAUCUGAGUGUGGUUAAAGCUCCGGCGGUUAGAGAUGAGCAUGCGUGUCAUUAGCUAGUUGGUGAGGUAACGGCUCACCAAGGCGACGAUGACUAGGGGGUCUGAGAGGAUGAUCCCCCACACUGGUACUGAGACACGGACCAGACUCCUACGGGAGGCAGCAGUGAGGAAUAUUGGUCGAUGGGGGCAACCCUGAACCAGCCAUGCCGCGUGAAGGAUGAAUGCCCUAUGGGUUGUAAACUUCUUUUGUUAGGGACGAAACUAUGAUACGUGUAUUGUACUGACGGUACCUAAUGAAUAAGCAACGGCUAACUCCGUGCCAGCAGCCGCGGUAA